UCCUUCCCGCUCUGUCUCGGGGCAAAGAGGGAUCAUGGCAAAGACGCCGAGGGACCACCUGUUCGACAUCAUUAGUGAGCUGGGCGAGUCGGACUUGAAGACCUUUAAAGACAAGCUGAACAAUUCCCAGCCCAAGCCAGGUUAUACCGUAUCAAGUGGAGCCAGCUGGAAAAAGCAGACGCUGUAGAUAUCACUCGCCUGCUCGUCAGCUACUACGAGGAGGAUUACGCAGUGGAGGUGGCCGGGAAGGUGCUGGAGGACAUGGACAAGAAGAACCUGGCACAAAACCUUUUCCAGGCCACAGGGAAGGCAGGUGUAGCUGACCCCACGCCCGGGAAACACAAGCCAGGCUUGUCCAGUGACGAAGACUCAGAUUCAGAUUUGUUACGUCGCUUACAAGCUUUAAAAGAUAACAGGAAUGUCACGGAGCCACAGAAUGGUGUGAUGGCCCCCGCUUUGGAAACGCCUCAGUGAGCCAGACCCCCUCGGGGUAUCUCUCACUCUUCCUCCAGGGAGUCGCAUCAAAUGCUGAGCUAAACCCUUCCCAGCUGACGUCACACAGCGAAAGAGAUGGCUAACGCUGACAUGAAGACCGUGCCCUGCUACGGACGGCCCAGGGAACCCAGAGCCUUCCCAGAGUUGUACCAAGUGGCCGUGAGAUUGCAUUCCAUAUUUUUGGUCAAUAAAAGGGGGCAAUUGUUUUAAU